CACGUAGGGGGCAAGCGUUGUCCGGAUUUAUUGGGCGUAAAGAGCUCGUAGGCGGCUCAGUAAGUCAGGUGUGAAACCUCCAGGCUCAACCUGGAGACGCCACCUGAUACUGCUGUGGCUAGAGUCCGGUAGGGGAGCGUGGAAUUCCUGGUGUAGCGGUGAAAUGCGCAGAUAUCAGGAGGAACACCAGCGGCGAAGGCAGCUCUCUGGGACGGUACUGACGCUGAGACGCGAAAGCGUGGGGAGCGAACAGG
rnacentral:rRNA from 1 species